rnacentral:rRNA from 1 species
GAUGAACGCUGGCGGCGUGCCUAACACAUGCAAGUCGAACGAAGCACUUUUUUACGAUCCCUUCGGGGUGACGAAUUUGUGACUGAGUGGCGGACGGGUGAGUAACGCGUGGGAAACCUGCCCUUGUACCGGGGGAUAGCAGUUGGAAACGACUGAUAAUACCGCAUAAGCGCACAGUAUCACAUGAUACAGUGUGAAAAACUCCGGUGGUACAAGAUGGCCCCGCGUCUGAUUAGCUUGUUGCGGGGUAAUGGCCCACCAAAGGCGACGAUCAGUAGCGACCUGAGAGGUGACCGGCCACAUUGGGACUGAGACACGGCCAAACUCCUACGGAGGCAGCAGUGGGGAAAUAUGNACAAUGAGGAAACUCUGAUGCAGCGACGCCGCGUGAGCGAUGAAGUAUUUCGGAUGUAAAGCUCUAUC